rnacentral:rRNA from 1 species
CCCUUAGAUGUUCUGGGCCGCACGCGCGCUACACUGACGAAUGCAACGAGCUUAUAACCUUGGCCGAAAGGUCUGGGUAAUCUCCAAAUUUCGUCGUGAUGGGGAUAGAUUAUUGCAAUUAUUAAUCUUCAACGAGGAAUGCCUAGUAAGCGCAAGUCAUCAGCUUGCGUUGAUUACGUCCCUGCCCUUUGUACACACCGCCCGUCGCUCCUACCGAUUGAAUGGUCCGGUGAAAUCUUCGGAUCUGAGAGAUGUCUGAUUAAUUUCGGACGCCUUUUGGAAAAGUUGUUUAAACCUUACCAUUUAGAGGAAGGUGAAGUCGUANCA